UUUCAGGUGCUUGUUUGAACCCUGCACUUCAUGUGGAAAUCAUAGAGGGGAGAGAGAGAUUACAGCCCGCCACUGUGUUUGAAGGAUCCAAGAGGCAAGACAAAUGGACAGAUGGAAAGAAUUACAGUUCAUCAGAGCAUGAUGAAGAAAAUCCCUCGGAUGGUAGAAACUGAGCUGUAUGCUGAUGUACACUGACCUACUGUCCAAGUUUGGUUCAGAGAAGAGUCUUCCGCUAGCAGCCAAGAGGCCAAGAUAGGAGCCAAGUGAACACCAAACAUUCAUGGCAGAUGACAAGCAGACCUUAAAAUCUGGAUGGAAAUAUUAAGGACCUAGAAUACAUUAAUCUUGAAGAAGAACAAUUCUGGAGCUCUUGACUUCAAGAUUCAAUAUAAAGAUAAAAUAAAACCAAAUAAGGAUAACCAAAUAAAUAAAUGGCAAAACAGAACAUGGAGCCCAGAAAUAGACUCAGAUAUUGAUUUUCUACAAUGUCAUCCAGCAAUUCAAUAGAUAAGGGCAAAUAUUUUUUAAUAAAUAGUGCUAGAAAAAGUGACUAUGUAUAUAAUAUAUUAUAUAUAUUGAGGGAUGGGAAUCUAGACUCUUACUUAUUCCACACACCAAAUUAUUGUAAUACCUUUGCAACCUUGGAUUAAGCAAAGUAUUUAGGCUAGACACAGAAAAAAAAUAAUGAAAGAAAAAAGCAAUGAGACAUCACAAAAUUAAAUACUUCUGUUUAUUAAAAAAAGUACUUUUA